rnacentral:rRNA from 1 species
GGCGAGGGGAGUGAAAAAGAACCUGAAACCGUGUACGUACAAGCAGUGGGAGCACAGGUUUACCUGUGUGACUGCGUACCUUUUGUAUAAUGGGUCAGCGACUUAUAUUCUGUAGCAAGGUUAACCGAAUAGGGGAGCCGGAGGGAAACCGAGUCUUAACUGGGCGUUAAGUUGCAGGGUAUAGACCCGAAACCCGGUGAUCUAGCCAUGGGCAGGUUGAAGGUUGGGUAACACUAACUGGAGGACCGAACCGACUAAUGUUGAAAAAUUAGCGGAUGACCUGUGGC